rnacentral:tRNA from 1 species
GCGCCCGUAGCUCAGCUGGAUAGAGCGUCAGCCUCCGAAGCUGAAGGCCAUGCGUUCGAAUCGCAUCGGGCGUA